rnacentral:misc_RNA from 1 species
GAUGAAGAACGCAGCGAAAUGCGAUACUUGGUGUGAAUUGCAGAAUCCCGUGAACCAUCGAGUCUUUGAACGCAAGUUGCGCCCGAAGCCACUAGGCCGAGGGCACGCCUGCCUGGGCGUCACACGCCGUUGCCCCCCCAUCUACUCCUUCGGGAUUGCGGGGGGGCGGAUGAUGGCCUCCCGUGCGCCUAGCCGCGCGGUUGGCAUAAAUACCAAGUCCUCGGCGACGCACGCCACGACAAUCGGUGGUUGCGAAACCUCGGUUGCCCGUCGUGUGCGUUCGUCGCGCAUCGAGGGCUCGAAAAAAUGCUCGGCUCCGGCUGGGCUUUCAACGCGACCCCAGGUCAGGCGGGGUUACCCGCUGAAUUUAAGCAUAUCAAUAAGCGGGGA